UACAGAGGGGGCAAGCGUUGUUCGGAAUUACUGGGCGUAAAGGGCGCGUAGGCGGCCUUCUAAGUCGAACGUGAAAUCCCCGGGCUCAACCCGGGAACUGCGUCCGAUACUGGAAGGCUUGAAUCCGGGAGAGGGAUGUGGAAUUCCAGGUGUAGCGGUGAAAUUCGUAGAUAUUGGGAAGAACACCGGUGGCGAAGGCGGCGCUCUGGACCGAGACUGACGCUGAGGCGCGAAAGCGUGGGGAGCAAACAGG
rnacentral:rRNA from 1 species